AGUGAACGCUGGCGGUAGGCCUAACACAUGCAAGUCGAACGGCAGCACAGUAAGAGCUUGCUCUUACGGGUGGCGAGUGGCGGACGGGUGAGGAAUACAUCGGAAUCUACUUUUUCGUGGGGGAUAACGUAGGGAAACUUACGCUAAUACCGCAUACGACCUACGGGUGAAAGCAGGGGAUCUUCGGACCUUGCGCGUUUGAAUGAGCCGAUGUCGGAUUAGCUAGUUGGCGGGGUAAAGGCCCACCAAGGCGACGAUCCGUAGCUGGUCUGAGAGGAUGAUCAGCCACACUGGAACUGAGACACGGUCCAGACUCCUACGGGAGGCAGCAGUGGGGAAUAUUGGCCAAUGGGCGCAAGCCUGAUCCAGCCAUACCGCGUGGGUGAAGAAGGCCUUCGGGUUGUAAAGCCCUUUUGUUGGGAAAGAAAAGCAGCAGGUUAAUACCCCGCUGUUCUGACGGUACCCAAAGAAUAAGCACCGGCUAACUUCGUG
rnacentral:rRNA from 1 species